UACGUAGGGGGCUAGCGUUGUCCGGAAUCAUUGGGCGUAAAGCGCGCGUAGGCGGCCCGGUAAGUCCGCUGUAAAAGUCAAAGGCUCAACCUUUGAAUGUCAGUGGAUACUGCCGGGCUAGAGUCCGGAAGAGGCGAGUGGAACUCCUGGUGUAGCGGUGGAAUGCGCAGAUAUCAGGAGGAACACCAGUGGCGAAGGCGGUGCUCUGGGCCGGAACUGACGCUGAGGAGCGAAAGCGUGGGGAGCAAACAGG
rnacentral:rRNA from 1 species